rnacentral:rRNA from 1 species
AGUUUGAUCCUGGCUCAGGAUGAACGCCGGCGGUGUGCCUAAUACAUGCAAGUCGUACGCACUGGCCCAACUGAUUGAUGGUGCUUGCACCUGAUUGACAAUGGAUCACCAAUGAGUGGCGGACGGGUGAGUAACACCUACGUAACCUGCCCCGGAGCGGGAGAUAACAUUUGGAAACAGAUGCUAAUACCGCAUAACAACAAAAGCCACAUGGCUUUUGUUUGAAAGAUGGCCUUGUGCUAUCACUCUGGGAUGGACCUGCGGUGCAUUAGCUAGUUGGUAAGGGAACGGCUUACCAAGGCGAUGAUGCAUAGCCGAGUUGAGAGACUGAUCGGCCACAAUGGAACUGACACACGGUCCAUACUCCUACGGGAGGCAACAGAAGGGAAUCUUCCACAAUGGGCGCAAGCCUGAUGGAGCAACACCGCGUGAGUGAAUAAGGGUUUCAGCUCAUAAAGCUCUGUUGUUGGACAAGAACGUGCGUGAUAGUAACAGUUCACGCAUCGACGGUAUCCUACCACAAAGUAACGGUUAACUACGUGCCAUUCAGCCGCGGUAAUAAGUAUGUGGCAAGCGUUAUCCCGGAUUUUUUGGGCGUAAAGCGAGCGCAGGCGGUUGCUAUACGUCUGAUGGAAAAGCCUUCGGCUUAAACCGAAGAAGUGCAUCGGAAACCGGGGGACUAGAGUGCAGAAGAGGACAGUGGAACUCCAUGUGUAGCGGUGGUACGCGUAGAUAUAUGGAAGAACACCAGUGGCGAAGGCGGCUGUCUGGUCUGCAACUGACGCUGAGGCUCGAAAGCAUGGGUAGCGAACAGGAUUAGAUACCCUGGUAGUCCAUACCGUAAACGAUGAGUGCUAGGUGUUGGAGGGUUUCCGCCCUUCAGUGCCGGAGCUAAUGCAUUAAGCACUCCGCCUGGGGAGUACGACCGCAAGGUUGAAACUCAAAGGAAUUGACGGGGGCCCGCACAAGCGGUGGAGCAUGUGGUUUAAUUAGAAGCUACGCGAAGAACCUUACCAGGUCUUGACAUCUUGCGCUAACCUUAGAGAUAAGGCGUUCCCUUCGGGGACGCAAUGACAGGUGGUGCAUGGUCGUCGUCAGCUCGUGUCGUGAGAUGCUGGGUUAAGUCCCGCAACGAGCGCAACCCUUGUUAUCUAGUUGCCAGCAUUAAGUUGGGCACUCUAGUGAGACUGCCGGUGACAAACCGGAGGAAGGUGGGGACGACGUCAGAUCAUCAUGCCCCUUAUGACCUGGGCUACACACGUGCUACAAUGGACGGUACAACGAGUCGCAAGCUCGCGAGAGUAAGCUAAUCUCUUAAAGCCGUUCUCAGUUCGGACUGUAGGCUGCAACUCGCCUACACGAAGUCGGAAUCGCUAGUAAUCGCGGAUCAGCAUGCCGCGGUGAAUACGUUCCCGGCCCUUGCACACACCGCCCGUCA